rnacentral:snRNA from 1 species
AAGAGGGGAAAGGUUCCA